rnacentral:rRNA from 1 species
UACAGGGGGGGCAAGCGUUGUUCGGAAUUACUGGGCGUAAAGAGCGCGCAGGCGGUCGAUCAAGUCGCGUGUGAAAGCCCCCGGCUCAACUGGGGAGGGUCACGCGAUACUGAUCGACUCGAAGGCAGGAGAGGGUAGUGGAAUUCCCGGUGUAGUGGUGAAAUGCGUAGAGAUCAUGAGGAAGACCAGUGGCGAAGGCGGGUCUCUGGACAGUUCCUGACACUGAGACACGAAGGCCAGGGGAGACAAACGGG